AUUGAACGCUGGCGGCAGGCUUAACACAUGCAAGUCGAGCGAGCGGCGGACGGGUGAGUAAUGUCUGGGAAACUGCCUGAUGGAGGGGGAUAACUACUGGAAACGGUAGCUAAUACCGCAUACCAUCAGAUGUGCCCAGAUGGGAUUAGCAAGUAGGUGGGGUAAUGGCUCACCUAGGCGACGAUACCUAGCUGGUCUGAGAGGAUGACCGGCAACACGGGAACUGGUACACGGUCCAGACUCCUACGGUGGGCAGCAGUGGGGAAUAUUGCACAUUGGGCGCAAGCCUGAUGCAGCCAUGCGGCGUGUGUGAGAAGGGCCUUCGGGUUGUAAAGCACUUUCAGCGAGGAGGCGUUACUCGAAGAAGAAGCACCGGAUAACUCCGUGCCAGCAGCCGCGGUAAUAC
rnacentral:rRNA from 1 species